UAAAUGACUCUCGGCAACGGAUAUCUCGGCUCUCGCAUCGAUGAAGAACGUAGCGAAAUGCGAUACUUGGUGUGAAUUGCAGAAUCCCGUGAACCAUCGAGUCUUUGAACGCAAGUUGCGCCCGAAACCAUUAGGUUGAGGGCACGUCUGCCUGGGUGUCACAC
rnacentral:rRNA from 1 species